AGUCGAGCGCUCACUUCGGUGGGAGCGGCGGAGGGUUAGUAACGCGUGGGAACAUACCCUUUUCUAAGGAAUAGCCACUGGAAACGGUGAGUAAUACCUUAUACGCCCUUCGGGGGAAAGAUUUAUCGGUGAAGGAUUGGCCCGCGUUAGAUUAGAUAGUUGGUGGGGUAAUGGCCUACCAAGUCUACGAUCUAUAGCUGGUUUGAGAGGAUGAUCAGCAACACUGGGACUGAGACACGCGAAGGCCUUAGGGUCGUAAAGCACUUUCGCCAGGGAUGAUAAUGACAGUACCUGGUAAAGAAACCCCGGCUAACUCCGUGCCAGCAGCCGCGGUAAUACGGAGGGGGUUAGCGUUGUUCGGAAUUACUGGGCGUAAAGCGCACGUAGGCGGACUAUUAAGUUAGAGGUGAAAUCCCGGGGCUCAACCCCGGAACUGCCUUUAAUACUGGUAGUCUUGAGUUCGAGAGAGGUGAGUGGAAUUCCGAGUGUAGAGGUGAAAUUCGUAGAUAUUCGGAGGAACACCAGUGGCGAAGGCGGCUCACUGGCUCGAUACUGACGCUGA
rnacentral:rRNA from 1 species